CGAUACGGGACUCAUCCGAGGCCCCGUAAUCGGAAUGAGUACACUCUAAACCCUUUAACGAGGAUCAAUUGGAGGGCAAGUCUGGUGCCAGCAGCCGCGGUAACACCAGCUCCAAUAGCGUAUAUUAAAGUUGUUGCGGUUAAAAAGCUCGUAGUCGAAUUUGUGUCCCGCGCCGCCGGUUCAUCGCUCGCGGUGUUAACUGGCGUGUCCGCGGGACGUCCUGCCGGUGGGCUUAGCUCUCUCGGGCGGCCCAAUCUCAAUCCCACCGCGGUGCUCUUUACUGAGUGUCGAGGUGGGCCGGCACGUUUACUUUGAACAAAUUAGAGUGCUUAAAGCAGGCUAAAAUAUCGCCUGAAUACUGUGUGCAUGGAAUAAUGGAAUAGGACCUCGGUUCUAUUUUGUUGGUUUUCGGAACCCCGAGGUAAUGAUUAAUAGGAACGGAUGGGGGCAUUCGUAUUGCGACGUUAGAGGUGAAAUUCUUGGAUCGUCGCAAGACGGACAGAAGCGAAAGCAUUUGCCAAAAACGUUUUCAUUGAUCAAGAACGAAAGUUAGAGGUUCGAAGGCGAUCAGAUACCGCCCUAGUUCUAACCAUAAACGAUGCCAGCUAGCGAUCCGCCGACGUUCCUCCGAUGACUCGGCGGGCAGCUUCCGGGAAACCAAAGCUUUUGGGAUCCGGGGGAAGUAUGGUUGCAAAGCUGAAACUUAAAGGAAUUGACGGAAGGGCACCACCAGGAGUGGAGCCUGCGGCUUAAUUUGACUCAACACGGGAAACCUCACCAGGCCCGGACACCGGAAGGAUUGACAGAUUGAGAG
rnacentral:rRNA from 1 species